UGGGGAAUAUUGCACAAUGGGCGCAAGCCUGAUGCAGCCAUGCCGCGUGUAUGAAGAAGGCCUUCGGGUUGUAAAGUACUUUCAGCGGGGAGGAAGGGAGUAAAGUUAAUACCUUUACUCAUUGACGUUACCCGCAGAAGAAGCACCGGCUAACUCCGUGCCAGCAGCCGCGGUAAUACGGAGGGUGCAAGCAUUAAUCGGAAUUACUGGGCGUAAAGCGCACGCAGGCGGUUUGUUAAGUCAGAUGUGAAAUCCCCGGGCUCAACCUGGGAACUGCAUCUGAUACUGACAAGCUUGAGUCUCGUAGAGGGGGGUAGAAUUCCAGGUGUAGCGGUGAAAUGCGUAGAGAUCUGGAGGAAUACCGGUGGCGAAGGCGGCCCCCUGGACGAAGACUGACGCUCAGGUGCGAAAGCGUGGGGAGCAAACAGG
rnacentral:rRNA from 1 species